rnacentral:rRNA from 1 species
GACGAACGCUGGCGGCGUGCUUAACACAUGCAAGUCGAGCGAGGCCCUUUCCUUCGGGAAAGGUGCCCUAGCGGCGAACGGGUGAGUAACACGUGGGCAACCUGCCCCUAGCACUGGGAUAACUCCGGGAAACCGGGGCUAAUACCGGAUAUGACCUCUGAGGGCAUCCUCUGGGAGGUGGAAAGGAUUCUGGCUAGGGGUGGGCCCGCGGCCUAUCAGCUUGUUGGUGGGGUAACGGCCCACCAAGGCAAGACGGGUAGCUGGUCUGAGAGGACGACCAGCCACACUGGAACUGAGACACGGUCCAGACACUACGGGUGGCAG